rnacentral:ncRNA from 1 species
AGAGCUCUUUCUUGAUUGGGUGGAUGGUGGUGCAUGGCCGUUCUUAGUUGAUGGAGCGAUUUGUUUGGUUAAUUCCGAUAACGAACGAGGCUCUAGCCAGCUUAUUAAUGAGGUGCGUUCCUCUUUGCACCUUGCACCCUUCUUAGAGGGACAAGCGGCUCCUAGCCGCACGAAACAGGACAAUAACAGGUCUGUGACGCCCUUAGAUGUCAGGGGCCGCACGCGCGCUACACUGAAAGAAGCAGCGUCUUUUUAUUCCUGUCUGUUAAGAGAGCAAGCUUAGAGAAAGUGGCAUUAGCAAAUACUGAGG